UCUGUUUGUAUCGAUGGAUAGUCUAACCUGCCCACUGAGUUAUUAAAGGGCCGCGGUAUCUUGACCGUGCGAAGGUAGCAUAAUCAGUAGCUUUUUAAUUGAAGGCUUGUAUGAACGGUUGGAUGAGGGACAUACUGUCUCUUUCUUUCAAUAAAAAUUAACUUUUGAGUGAAAAGGCUCAAAUUUUCUGAAGUGACGAUAAGACCCUAUAAAACUUUAUAAUUUCUAUUUAAAGUUGAUAAUUUCGUUUAAAUCAAUCUUAUAUAGAACUUAUUUUGUUGGGGAAACAGUGAUAUAAUUGUUGUAAUUGUCUGUGAAAUUUAAUAAUUAUAAUUAGAGUGUGAUCCCUUUUUGGGGAUUAAAAGAUUAAGUUACUUUAGGGAUAACAGCGUGAUUUUUUCUGAGAGUUCUUAUCGACGAUAUUAGUUGCGACCUCGAUGUUGAAUUAAAACUUCUGGUUGGUGUAGCAGCUUGCCUAGUAGGUCUGUUCGACCUUUAAAGUUUUACA
rnacentral:rRNA from 1 species